UACCCUGGGAAGUAGUGCAUGUGCCAAUAUUGCCUUAAGGUUGAAACUUUCAACCUUCCUGAUAACAUUUGCAUUUCUGAUAUAAAAGAAUUUUUUUUUUCUUUUUCUUUUAAAGGCCUUCCCUGGAAAACCGACGGGAAAGGUUAAAGUGUCUUCGGCAAUUCGCUUUCCCGUCUGACUCAGUAUACCCAGAGCUACACUCCGGACUUCUCUUUUCCUAACUCCAGAUCCUCCACGGAGAACUCAGGCGCCUGAAAUCUCAGCCGCACACUUAAAGUUUUACGAAAUGCUGUUUUUGUGCAACCAAGGUAUCUCUUUCCUUCCUUAAGAAGUCAGCUGGAAAAUUUAAACAGACGCAUGUUUGGAUGGAGUUGCUAGGGGCAUGGAGAAUAGGGCCGCACAAACACACAGCUGCGAGCAAUUGCUGCUGCCUUUUUGGGAAGGCUGCUGCUGGUGAUGUGUAGUUAAAAGCUUUACAAACUUCAGUACCUUUGUGACCAAGUCAGAAAUUCUCAGUCUUUAUCCAGAGGAACAGUCAACGAAGUACUUGUGUAACCGCUCCAGCACACGCACAUGCAUGUUCAAAGCCGUAAUAAGGGAAAGAAAACCCAAAAGUCAACAAAAGAGAAUUGGUUAGGUUUUUCACCAUUGAGAUAUUUUUGGAAGAAAGUUUGAAUUUGUUGCCAGGCAUCCACCUGCGCCCUUGAGUGAGCCCUCGGCUCACCUCCAUAGAAUACCGCUUCACCCAACACCGCAUGCACAGAAGCUCUGGAAGGAGGGAAAUAAGAUACCCCUAGACAAUUGUCAGCCAAUCAGGGUCCUGAACCCUGGAAAUUCCUUCACACCAACCACUGCUAUGAUAAAAACUCAACCCCGCCUGGGCUCAGAGCUUUCUGCCCUCACCGCUGCAUCAAACAGAGAGACCAAGCUCAGCGCUUGAAGAUAAUAAAGGCUCUCUGCUUUUACAUGCGGGA